UACGGGGGGUGCAAGCGUUGUUCGGAAUUAUUGGGCGUAAAGAGCGUGUAGGCGGUUUGUUAAGUCUGUUGUGAAAGCCCUGGGCUCAACCCAGGAAGUGCACUGGAUACUGGCAGACUUGAAUACGGGAGAGGGUAGUGGAAUUCCUAGUGUAGGAGUGAAAUCCGUAGAUAUUAGGAGGAACACCGGUGGCGAAGGCAGCUACCUGGACCGAUAUUGACGCUGAGACGCGAAAGCGUGGGUAGCAAACAGG
rnacentral:rRNA from 1 species